AGUGAACGCUGGCGGUAGGCCUAACACAUGCAAGUCGAACGGCAGCACAGUAAGAGCUUGCUCUUACGGGUGGCGAGUGGCGGACGGGUGAGGAAUACAUCGGAAUCUACUUUUUCGUGGGGGAUAACGUAGUGAAACUUACGCUAAUACCGCAUACGACCUACGGGUGAAAGCAGGGGAUCUUCGGACCUUGCGCGAUUGAAUGAGCCGCUGUCGGAUUAGCUAGUUGGCGGGGUAAAGGCCCACCAAGGCGACGAUCCGUAGCUGGUCUGAGAGGAUGAUCGGCCACACUGGAACUUAGACACGGUCCAGACUCCUACGGGAGGCAGCAGUGGGGAAUAUUGGACAAUGGGCGCAAGCCUGAUCCAGCCAUACCGCGUGGGUGAAGAAGGCCUUCGGGUUGUAAAGCCCUUUUGUUGGGAAAGAAAAGCAGCAGGUUAAUACCCCGCUGUUCUGACGGUACCCAAAGAAUAAGCACCGGCUAACUUCGUG
rnacentral:rRNA from 1 species